UACGGAGGAUGCGAGCGUUAUCCGGAUUUAUUGGGUUUAAAGGGUGCGUAGGCGGUCCGUUAAGUCAGCGGUAAAAUUGCGGGGCUCAACCCCGUCGAGCCGUUGAAACUGGCAGACUUGAGUUGGCGAGAAGUACGCGGAAUGCGCGGUGUAGCGGUGAAAUGCAUAGAUAUCACGCAGAACUCCGAUUGCGAAGGCAGCGUACCGGCGCCCAACUGACGCUGAAGCACGAAGGCGUGGGUAUCGAACAGG
rnacentral:rRNA from 1 species